CUACACUGAUGAGCUGUAAUAGACUGACCUGGUAUUGCUACUCUGUGUGGGUGGCUCUGACCAGGGCAUGAUCUUAGUUUAAUCUUCUCUCUGAGUGG